GCGCCUGUAGCUCAGUCGGAUAGAGCAACUGCCUUCUAAGCAGUAGGCCACUGGUUCGAAUCCAGUCAGGCGCACCA
rnacentral:tRNA from 1 species